GACGAACGCUGGCGGCGUGCUUAACACAUGCAAGUCGAACGGAAAGGCCCUGCUUUUGUGGGGUGCUCGAGUGGCGAACGGGUGAGUAACACGUGAGUAACCUGCCCUUGACUUUGGGAUAACUUCAGGAAACUGGGGCUAAUACCGGAUAGGAGCUCCUGCUGCAUGGUGGGGGUUGGAAAGUUUCGGCGGUUGGGGAUGGACUCGCGGCUUAUCAGCUUGUUGGUGGGGUAGUGGCUUACCAAGGCUUUGACGGGUAGCCGGCCUGAGAGGGUGACCGGCCACAUUGGGACUGAGAUACGGCCCAGACUCCUACGGGAGGCAGCAGUGGGGAAUAUUGCACAAUGGGCGGAAGCCUGAUGCAGCAACGCCGCGUGCGGGAUGACGGCCUUCGGGUUGUAAACCGCUUUCGCCUGUGACAAAGCGUGAGUGACGGUAAUGGGUAAAGAAGCACCGGCUAACUACGU
rnacentral:rRNA from 1 species